rnacentral:rRNA from 1 species
AGAGUUUGAUCCUGGCUCAGGACGAACGCUGGCGGCACGCUUAACACAUGCAAGUCGAACGAGAGAAGAGAAGCUUGCUUUUCUGAUCUAGUGGCGGACGGGUGAGUAACACGUGAGCAAUCUGCCUUUCAGAGGGGGAUACCGAUUGGAAACGAUCGUUAAUACCGCAUAACAUAAUUGAACCGCAUGAUUUGAUUAUCAAAGAUUUAUCGCUGAAAGAUGAGCUCGCGUCUGAUUAGCUAGUUGGUAAGGUAACGGCUUACCAAGGCGACGAUCAGUAGCCGGACUGAGAGGUUGAUCGGCCACAUUGGGACUGAGACACGGCCCAGACUCCUACGGGAGGCAGCAGUGGGGAAUAUUGCACAAUGGAGGAAACUCUGAUGCAGCGAUGCCGCGUGAGGGAAGAAGGUUUUAGGAUUGUAAACCUCUGUCUUUGGGGACGAAAAAUGACGGUACCCAAGGAGGAAGCUCCGGCUAACUACGUGCCAGCAGCCGCGGUAAUACGUAGGGAGCGAGCGUUGUCCGGAAUUACUGGGUGUAAAGGGAGCGUAGGCGGGAUCGCAAGUCAGAUGUGAAAACUAUGGGCUUAACCCAUAAACUGCAUUUGAAACUGUGGUUCUUGAGUGAAGUAGAGGUAAGCGGAAUUCCUAGUGUAGCGGUGAAAUGCGUAGAUAUUAGGAGGAACAUCAGUGGCGAAGGCGGCUUACUGGGCUUUAACUGACGCUGAGGCUCGAAAGCGUGGGGAGCAAACAGGAUUAGAUACCCUGGUAGUCCACGCCGUAAACGAUGAUUACUAGGUGUGGGGGGACUGACCCCUUCCGUGCCGCAGCAAACGCAAUAAGUAAUCCACCUGGGGAGUACGACCGCAAGGUUGAAACUCAAAGGAAUUGACGGGGGCCCGCACAAGCAGUGGAGUAUGUGGUUUAAUUCGA